ACCGGAGUUAUACAACUCAUCAACCCUGUGAACAUACCUAAAACGUUGCUUCGUCGGCGGGAACAGACGGCCCUGUAACAACGGGCCGCCCCCGCCAGAGGGACCCCUAACUCUGUUUUUAUAAUGUUUUUCUGAGUAAACAAGCAAAUAAAUUAA
rnacentral:misc_RNA from 1 species